rnacentral:rRNA from 1 species
UACGAAGGGGGCUAGCGUUGCUCGGAAUUACUGGGCGUAAAGCGCACGUAGGCGGCUUCUUAAGUCGGGUGGUGAAAUCCUGGAGCUCAACUCCAGAACUGCCUUCGAUACUGGGGAGCUCGAGUCCGGGAGAGGUGAGUGGAACUGCGAGUGUAGAGGUGAAAUUCGUAGAUAUUCGCAAGAACACCAGUGGCGAAGGCGGCUCACUGGCCCGGUACUGACGCUGAGGUGCGAAAGCGGUGGGGAGCAA